rnacentral:rRNA from 1 species
GAUCAUGGCUCAGGAUGAACGCUGGCGGCGUGCUUAACACAUGCAAGUCGAGCGAAGCACUUAAGUUUGAUUCUUCGGAUGAAGACUUUUGUGACUGAGCGGCGGACGGGUGAGUAACGCGUGGGUAACCUGCCUCAUACAGGGGGAUAACAGUUGGAAACGACUGCUAAUACCGCAUAAGCGCACAGUACCGCAUGGUACAGUGUGAAAAACUCCGGUGGUAUGAGAUGGACCCG